AACUAGGUAGGUCUCUCCGGGUACCUUCAGUACAAGAACGUGCCAAGGAAAAAUCUGCCACAGUUCCAUCACGAUACAUUCAUUCUGAUCAAGAUCCUGUAAUUCUCAGUUCGACAGAUCUACCUGAAGUCCCUGUGAUUGAUAUGGAGAUCUUACUUCAUGGAGAUUUAAUGGACGCUGAGCUCAAUAAAUUUCACCAAGCAUGCAAAGAGUGGGGAUUCUUUCAGGUACACUAUUUUUAAGAUUAAUUUAUUUUUUUAGAGGAUGCUACUUGAAAAAAAAAAAAACUAGAUUACAACGCAUCUUUGCAGUUAAUAAACCAUGGUGUUAGCGAUUCAUUACUGGAGAAGGUGAAAACAGAGGUCGUGGAGUUCUUUAAGCUGCCACUUGAAGAGAAGAGAAAGUUUGGUCAACUGGAUGGAGAUAUAGAGGGAUAUGGACAAUCCUUCGUUGUCUCGGAGGAGCAAAAGCUUGAUUGGGCUGAUAUGAUCUACAUGAUCACCCUUCCUACUGAUCUCAGGAAACCGCACUUAUUGCCACAACUACCUCAUUCAUUCAGGUAACACAAAAUUUCUCUUAUAUUAAGGCUUUUGCAGUAAUUUCUCCUACCUCCCGAAUGAGCCAACUGACAUGCAUCAACCCAUAACAAAUAUGCAGAAAUGCUAUAGAGGAUUAUGCGGUGGAAUUGAAAAGCCUAGCCAUGAAUAUUCUCAAUCUAAUGGCCAAAGCUCUUCAAACGAAUCCUGAGGAAAUGGAAGUUCUCUUUGAAGAAGGCAUGCAAUCAAUGAGGAUGAACCACUAUCCUCCAUGCCCUCAACCGGAACAGGUUAUAGGGCUCACGCCCCACAGCGAUGCUUCUGGCUUCACUAUCCUUUUUCAACUGAAUGAAAUUGACGGCCUACAGAUUAGAAAGGACGGUACUUGGAUUCCAAUAAAACCGUUGCCUUCUGCCUUUGUUAUCAACAUCGGAGAUGUUCUGGAGGUAAAAUUAACUAUUUUAAAUUUUUAUUGCUUGUAAAUGGAUGGACUAACAUGACUUAAUCUGUAGGUUAUAACCAAUGGAACUUAUCAUAGCAUUGAGCAUAGAGGAGUUGUCAACUCAGUGAAGGAGAGAAUGUCAAUUGCUACAUUUUUAAGCCCCAAGGUAGAUGCAGAAUUCGGUCCUGCACCAAGCCUUCUCACGUCCCAAGCUCCUCCAAAGUUUAAAUGGAUUGCUGCUGCAGAUUUCUUUAAAGGAUAUUUUGCACAGAAGCUUGCUGGGAAAUGUUAUCUAGACACUCUACGAAUAUAAACCUAAUAUAUUUGGCUUUAUGCACCUGAGCUUCUUCAGUAAAUAAACCUGCAGCAUCCUACGGAUCGCUAACAAAGAAUCUGCUGCAAUUUCCACAAUGUAGACAGACUUAUUGUCUAUGCAACAGAUUGUAAUAAACUUUUCAUUGCAAUUUCCCUUGUUUCACUCGAGCUUCACGCAACAUUAACAAAUGUAGUCAAAAGUAGAUAUGUAGUAAUCUGCAUAGUUUAGUAAAUGAUGAGCUUAGAGCUAAACAAUAAUUUAUCAGCAAUGAUAGAAUGAAUUAGAAACUCCAUGUAUUUCUUAAAUUAUGCAUAUAAUUUACUUCCGAAUACGAGAACAGUGAAAACAGGAAGCAGUAAGCACACAGGAACUUUGUUUUACAACUCAUAGUCAAGAUUAGGUAACUUAGAGAAGCAUAUAUUUCAUUUAUUCAUUUAAAACUGAAAAAAUGUGCCUAAUAAUCAAGUUUCAUACAUAUUCUUCUGCGAAGAACGAGUUUCACAGGAGCCACAUGUUCGAGCCAAAAUAAUUAAACAAGCCAAGCCAUAUGUAGAUUCAUCAGCCAGAUAGACAUGAUAACAACAAUUGACAACUUUUUCCAAUAUCAUAAGGAAUUCAAACAACGAAAAGGCUAAUGAUGUUAAGUACCAGACAGUAUGAAUGAUGAAAUGUUUGUAUAAAAAGGGCCUAAUUAGUGAUGGUUUACAACUUGAUCAUUUAAUGAACUCUGUUAAGUACGAGGAAGGUUCUCUAAGGAUAGUGACAUGAAAUGGACUUUGUGCACUACAUCCAAUCACAGGUAGUGAAAGAUUUCAUGUGAUUUUUAUAAUGUUGGCUUGUUAAAGAGUAUUGUCUUUGUUUUAUAAUUUUGAGUAUAAAAAUUGAUUAUAGAAAUUUGAAAAUUCUCAAACCCUAAUAUACUCUCUAUUAUUGAAGUAGCCGUCUCUGUCAUCAGUGGGGCUUCCAUCGGUUUUCAACAGUGGAGAGCCCCAAAUCUUUUGUUUGUUUCAUCUUAUUUUUUUCUUUCAAUAAUCUUACUCGUUGAGGAAGGAUUUGUCUCAUUUGAUUUGUUUUUUAGACCUACAUCAUCGGAGCUUACAGUUUACUUUUUUAUUUGAUUGAAGCGGAGCUUAUCGGAUACGAGAGUUACUCGUUCUUCUUGUGGUUUUGACGGUUAGAUCUAAGUUUUUUUAAUUUUCAUUUGUUUUCAGUCUACUUUUAUUUCGAUUGGUAAUUUGUAUUUUCAGGUUGUUUUCUCUCCCUGGUGAGAGCUUUGUUUUUCGCUUCUUAAUUGUAAGCGGGGUCUUGAUUUGGUGAUGAAAGUUUGUAUGGAAUCGCAAGUCGAUAGCUCAAACGAUAGCUCUAUCAGGGCAUGAUGAAGAGGGUAACAAUAAACGAGAAUGCAUGAAGCGAGUACUUGUAUUAGUAUAUACAUUUUCUUCAAAAAAUUGUUUAAUUGUCUCUUUAUAAGAACAGGCGAUUGCAAUAUACUCUUUGUUCGACUCCAUCAUUGGUGUAGAUGUCGUAUGACUUUUUAUUAUUAGAUUAACACUUUUGUUUCAAAAAAAAUUUGAUUAUAAUGUUCGUUUGGUACCUCACAAACUAACAAAUCUUAAUAGUCCCUUCAAAUAUAUACAGAAAUCUCAUGUAAAUUUGGAUUUUGUACAUACAAAUUCAUGAACUUGUCAAUAAAAUGUAGAUUGUCGGAAUGUAUCUUUUGCAUAAAGAAAUUUCGCCCCUCCAAAUUUUUUCUGGUUCCGUCCCUGCGAACGCUCAAUUCAGCUAUAAAUACAUGAGUAAUAUUGCUCUACAGUAUAUUCUAGAUAUUCACCUCAUACACGCACAGUAAGAAAGAAAGAGGUCAUAGCAAUUGAUAGAAAGAAUGGAAGCAUCAAAAGUAGAAAAAAUAGGGAGGUCUCUCCAGGUACCUUCAGUACAAGAACUGGCCAAGGAUGAAUCUGCCACAGUUCCAUCACAAUACAUUCAUUCUGAUCAAGAUCCUGUAAUUCUCAGUUCGACAGAUCUACCUGAAGUCCCUGUGAUUGAUAUGGAGAUCUUACUUCAUGGAGAUUUAAUGGACGCUGAGCUCAAUAAAUUUCACCAAGCAUGCAAAGAGUGGGGAUUCUUUCAGGUACACUAUGUUUAAGAUUAAUUUAUUUUUUUAGAGGAUGCUACUUGAAAAAAAAAAAAAAAACUAGAUUACAACGCGUCUUUGCAGUUAAUAAACCAUGGUGUUAGCGAUUCAUUACUGGAGAAGGUGAAAACAGAGGUCGUGGAGUUCUUUAAGCUGCCACUUGAAGAGAAGAGAAAGUUUGGUCAACUGGAUGGAGAUAUAGAGGGAUAUGGACAAUCCUUCGUUGUCUCGGAGGAGCAAAAGCUUGAUUGGGCUGAUAUGAUCUACAUGAUCACCCUUCCUACUGAUCUCAGGAAACCGCACUUAUUGCCACAACUACCUCAUUCAUUCAGGUAACACAAAAUUUCUCUUAUAUUAAGGCUUUUGCAGUAAUUUCUCCUACCUCCCGAAUGAGCCAACUGACAUGCAUCAACCCAUAACAAAUAUGCAAAAAUGCUAUAGAGGAUUACGCGGUGGAAUUGAAAAGCCUAGCCAUGAAUAUUCUCAAUCUAAUGGCCAAAGCUCUUCAAAUGAAUCCUGAGGAAAUGGAAGUGCUCUUUGAAGAAGGCAUGCAAUCAAUGAGGAUGAACUACUAUCCUCCAUGCCCUCAACCGGAACAGGUUAUAGGGCUCACGCCCCACAGCGAUGCUACUGGCUUUACUAUACUUUUUCAACUGAAUGAAAUUGACGGCCUACAGAUUAGCAAGGACGGUACUUGGAUUCCAAUAAAACCAUUGCCUUCUGCCUUUGUUAUAAACAUCGGAGAUGUUCUGGAGGUAAAAUUAACUCUUUUAAAUUUUUAUUGCUUGUAAAUGGAUGGACUAACAUGAUUUAAUCUGUAGGUUGUAACUAAUGGAACUUAUCGGAGCAUUGAGCAUAGAGGAGUUGUCAGCUCAGUGAAGGAGAGAAUGUCGAUUGCUACAUUUUUAAGCCCCAAGGUAGAUGCAGAAUUCGGUCCUGCACCAAGCCUUCUCUCGUCCCAAGCUCCUCCAAAGUUUAAAAGGAUUGCCGCUGCAGAUUUCUUUAAAGGAUAUUUUGCCCAGAAGCUUGCUGGGAGAUGUUAUCUAGACACUCUACGAAUAUAAACCUAAUAUAUUCGGCUUUAUGCACCUGAGCUUCUUCAGCAGAGGCGGACGCACGUUCAGGGUCAUGGGGUCACGUGCCCCCAUAUAAUAUUGAGUAUCCCACAAGUAUAUAUAUUUUUGAAAAAUUAAGGAUCAUUUAAUUUAUCUAAUAAGUAAUUUAUAAGUCAAAAAUAUCUCACUAAAACAAAUAAAAGGAAGUUUUAAACAAAUAAUUUAAAUUAAGAUGAAUUUUUGGCUCUAACAAAAAUUUAUGUUCUUUUAUAAUAUCAUUAUUUAUAUGGUGCCCCGUCUUUAUAAUUGUUCUAGAUCCGCCACUGUUCUUCAGUGAAUAAACCUGCAACUUCCUACGUAUCGCUAACAAAGAAUCUGCUGCAAUUUCCACAAUGUAAACAGACUUAUUGUCUAUGCAACAGAUUGUAAUGAACUUUUCAUUGCAAUUUCCCUUGUUUCACUCGAGCUUCACGCAACAUUAACAAAUGUAGUCAAAAGUAGAUAUCUAGUAAUCUGCAUAGUUUAGUAAAUGAUGAGCUUAGAGCUAAACAAUAAUUUAUCAGCAAUGAUAGAAUGAAUUAGAAACUCCAUGUAUUUCUUAAAUUAUGCAUAUAAUUUACUUCCGAAUACGAGAACAGUGAAAACAGGAAGCAGUAAGCACACAGGAACUUUGUUUUACAACUCAUAGUCAAGAUUAGGUAACUUAGAGAAGCAUAUAUUUCAUUUAUUCAUUUAAAACUGAAAAAAUGUGCCUAAUAAUCAAGUUUCAUACAUAUUCUUCUGCGAAGAACGAGUUUCACAGGAGCCACAUGUUCGAGCCAAAAUAAUUAAACAAGCCAAGCCAUAUGUAGAUUCAUCAGCCAGAUAGACAUGAUAACAACAAUUGACAACUUUUUCCAAUAUCAUAAGGAAUUCAAACAACGAAAAGGCUAAUGAUUUUAAGUACCAGACAGUAUGAAUGAUGAAAUGUUUGUAUAAAAAGGGCCUAAUUGGUGAUGGUUUACAACUUGAUCGUUUAAUUAACUCUGUUAAGUACGAGGAAGGUUCUCUAAGGAUAGUGACGUGAAAUGGACUUUGUGCACUACAUCCAAUCACAGGUAGUGAAAGAUUUCAUGUGAUUUUUAUAAUGUUGGCUUGUUAAAGAGUAUUGUCUUUGUUUUUUCGUUCGGAAGAAUAGAGUGCUAAUCCCAUAUAAUCCGAAAAAUGUAAAUGGGAAGGAGCAUUCUGCAGAUUCUUAGGAUGACUUCGGGCACUGCACACAUAUGACAGAAAUGCUUAUUAGCAGAUUAUAAACUUAGUUUCAUGGAGAUGACUAAUGUACCAUUUAAUGAUCACUUCACAAUAAAAGACCUUCAAUUAUGAAAUACUGAAAGCUCUGCAUUAAUCAGAAUCCCAUAAAAAAAUAAUCAAAUUUCAUGAAGACCCUGUGAAAUUAGAAGGACACUUAACUAGAUACCUUUGGUUGGUUGGGUGUUACCUUGGUCGGAAUAGUAAAUUGCUCAAUCGCCUACAUAAAACAUAAAUAUUGUGGAACCAUAGAUGCAGGCAUCUUUGAGGUAAGGAAAAUGCUGGCAUCUGCUGUCAAAAAAUGGACAGAUAAACUGAUUCUGAUCAAUACAAUAGAACGCUUGGUAGUCGGCUACCAUUUUUCCAGUUGCAUUGAGGACCUGUUAGCAGAGAUUCAUGAAUCUCAUGCAAAUCUUGAAACUUAUGAAAAGUUGACGCAGAACGGAACACUCGGAUCAACAAACGUUAAUCCUUAUGCACACACACACAAAUCCGCCAACGCGAAUUUGAAAGUUAAAUCUGGAAUCCACCAGAAAAGAUGAGAAAACUCUCAAGGGUUUUGUUUAUUCAAUCAUAAGCUGCCGACUUUUUGCUUACAAUAUUGUUUAUAUAGGAAUAUAAAACCCUAAAACAUAAUAAUAAAAAACAAAUUCUACUUAAAAAUAAAAUAUUAAAUAUAAGUGGCAUGAUCAUGCAGCCAGUCAGCGUGAUCAUGUUGUUGUCCUCUCUAGCCUCUGGAGCUUUUUCCUGCUUUGGCAUGAUCAUGCAGCCCUUUAGCAUGCUCAUGCUGUUUUCCUCCCUUCUUCUUUGCAGGCCUUUUCAUGUCAAGCUUCUCUUCAAAAUUCUGAGCCUCUUGUUCUACAUCAAAAGUAUGAUCUGACUCAUCAACAGCAACAUGCACAGUCACCCUCUCGUCUCCACGUAAUGCAUCAUUUUCUUAAUAUAGCAAUAAACGGUGGAGCUAGCAAGCAAACUGUACAAGAUAUCAACCGGGAAGUGGGAACGCUCAGGGACGGAAACAGGGGGCAAUGGGGUGGUCAUGGUGGCCCAAAGCCUUCCCUAAGAGUUUGAAUUGAUUCUAUUUUGACUAUAAAAAUCGAUUUUAUAGUCGUUAUGUCCCCCCAAAAAUCUCUCCAAAAGUUUGUAUUUAUUCAAUUUUGAGUAUAAAAAUUGAUUAUAGAAAUUUGAAAAUUCUCAAACCCUAAUAUACUCUCUAUUAUUGAAGUAGCCGUCUCUAUCAUCAGUGGGGCUUCCAUCGGUUUUCAACAGUGGAGAGCCCCAAAUCUUUUGUUUGUUUCAUCUUAUUUUUUUCUUUCAAUAAUCUUACUCGUUGAGGAAGGAUUUGUCUCAUUUGAUUUGUUUUUUAGACCUACAUCAUCGGAGCUUACAGUUUACUUUUUUAUUUGAUUGAAGCGGAGCUUAUCGGAUACGAGAGUUACUCGUUCUUCUUGUGGUUUUGACGGUUAGAUCUAAGUUUUUUUAAUUUUCAUUUGUUUUCAGUCUACUUUUAUUUCGAUUGGUAAUUUGUAUUUUCAGGUUGUAUUCUUCUUGUCGUAUGACUUUUUAUUAUUAGAUUAACACUUUUGUUUCAAAAAAAAAUUUGAUUAUAAUGUUCGUUUGGUACCUCACAAACUAACAACAUCAUUGGUGUAGAUGUCGUAUGACUUUUUAUUAUUAGAUUAACACUUUUGUUUCAAAAAAAAUUUGAUUAUAAUGUUCGUUUGGUACCUCACAAACUAACAAAUCUUAAUAGUCCCUUCAAAUAUAUACAGAAAUCUCAUGUAAAUUUGGAUUUUGUACAUACAAAUUCAUGAACUUGUCAAUAAAAUGUAGAUUGUCGGAAUGUAUCUUUUGCAUAAAGAAAUUUCGCCCCUCCAAAUUUUUUCUGGUUCCGUCCCUGCGAACGCUCAAUUCAGCUAUAAAUACAUGAGUAAUAUUGCUCUACAAUAUAUUCUAGAUAUUCACCUCAUACACGCACAGUAAGAAAGAAAGAGGUCAUAGCAAUUGAUAGAAAGAAUGGAAGCAUCAAAAGUAGAAAAAAUAGGGAGGUCUCUCCAGGUACCUUCAGUACAAGAACUGGCCAAGGAUGAAUCUGCCACAGUUCCAUCACAAUACAUUCAUUCUGAUCAAGAUCCUGUAAUUCUCAGUUCGACAGAUCUACCUGAAGUCCCUGUGAUUGAUAUGGAGAUCUUACUUCAUGGAGAUUUAAUGGACGCCGAGCUCAAUAAAUUUCACCAAGCAUGCAAAGAGUGGGGAUUCUUUCAGGUACACUAUGUUUAAGAUUAAUUUAUUUUUUGAUGAAAAAAAAACUAGAUUACAACGCGUCUUUGCAGUU
rnacentral:lncRNA from 1 species